rnacentral:rRNA from 1 species
UGAGGAAUAUUGGACAAUGGGUUAGCGCCUGAUCCAGCCAUCCCGCGUGAAGGACGACGGCCCUAUGGGUUGUAAACUUCUUUUGUACAGGGAUAAACCUACCCUCGUGAGGGUAGCUGAAGGUACUGUACGAAUAAGCACCGGCUAACUCCGUGCCAGCAGCCGCGGUAAUACGGAGGGUGCAAGCGUUAUCCGGAUUUAUUGGGUUUAAAGGGUCCGUAGGCGGAUGCGUAAGUCAGUGGUGAAAUCUCACAGCUCAACUGUGAAACUGCCAUUGAUACUGCGUGUCUUGAGUGAGGUUGAAGUAGCUGGAAUAAGUAGUGUAGCGGUGAAAUGCAUAGAUAUUACUUAGAACACCAAUUGCGAAGGCAGGUUACUAAGUCUCAACUGACGCUGAUGGACGAAAGCGUGGGGAGCGAACAG